rnacentral:lncRNA from 1 species
GUCAGACAUGUAUUGACUAGUUCGAUGUGUCUGCCUUCUGUUCCUGUAUACCUAUACCAUAUUGUGGACUACAGUGGAAGAAGGUUAUCUUUAGAGUCUGUUAGGGGAGAUUACUGGAUGUUAGUGCUUGGCGUGAUGGUUGUAGAUGCCUCCUGGUUUGUCCUUCCACUUUUGUUACAGACUGAUGAAUGAUAGACACUUUUGUUUAAAAUUAUCUUUAACUAUUUGUCUAUCUGAGUUAAUUGCAAAAUUUCAAUACUUUCCUACUGAUCAAGAAUGAAAACCUGAACUGAGGGGGGAAUUAUUUUCAUGUAACAUUUGCUUUUUUUAGUUAAAAUAUAUCUUGAGGGUUUUCCAGUAAUGUAAUGUGUCACUGGAAGUUUUUUACCUAGUGAGAAUGAAUGUGUUCCCUGAAUUUACACAAGUAAAAGAAUAAAAAUAGUCACAAUGGAAUAAAUCAUCCCACAAAGCAAAUCUUUGGGAUUCCUUUCAGAGAUUUAUGAUCAAAGACCAUGAACUUCAUGAUUGCCAUGAUCAAAGACAUGAAUAAAAUAUAAUCGCGAAGCUUGUUUUGAAACAAAUCAAGAAUAGUUUUGACAUAAGAAACGGAAAAUCAUAGCCCAGCUAUAAGAACAAAGGAAAUUCUGCUGACCAUGUAUCUGUGAAGUACAGACCAUCACAGAGAUGAAGGCCAGUGCUUGCUCCCCUCUGCUGCUGCUGGUCCUCUUCCUACACGCACUCCUCCAUAUCUUCAUUCUAAUAUGAGACAGAAACUCUUUGUAUCAUUCUCACGCCCAUACAAGUCAGAUGGCAGGAAAGUGGGAAGAUCAGUCUUACCUAAAAGUCCUGGAGCCUGUGAGUUUUGCUGUAUGGAAACAGAGAUUAAGGUAGGGAGGGGAGACAUCUAUGCUCUUCCUACUGUGAUCAGACUGUAAAACUAGGCUUUAGAUAAGUAUUUGGUUAUUUUUCUUCCUGGAAAGAAUGACAUUCUGUUUUUAGUUUGUUUUUGUCUUUCAGGUUUUCUUUUUGAUUUGUUAUUUUCUUAGGUUUGUUUAUUUUUUCUCCAGCCCUGUUAAAAACACUGACAUUCUUUUCUUUGAAGGAAAACUCCCAUAUACAACUAAAAGCAGUAUUUCUCACGUUUUAGGUUCAUUUCCUAACCUACAUAAAAUGAU